rnacentral:rRNA from 1 species
CCUAACGGGGUGCACCAGUGGGGAAUAUUGGACAAUGGGCGAAAGCCUGAUCCAGCAAUGCCGCGUGUGUGAAGAAGGUCUUCGGGUUGUAAAGCACUUUCGACGGGGACGAUGAUGACGGUACCCGUAGAUGAAGCCCCGGCUAACUUCGUGCCAGCAGCCGCGGUAAUACGAAGGGGGCUAGCGUUGCUCGGAAUGACUGGGCGUAAAGGGCGCGUAGGCGGUUUAUGCAGCCAGAUGUGAAGUCCCCGGGCUUAACCUGGGAACUGCAUUUGAGACGCAUAGACUAGAGGUCGAGAGAGGGUUGUGGAAUUCCCAGUGUAGAGGUGAAAUUCGUAGAUAUUGGGAAGAACACCGGUGGCGAAGGCGGCAACCUGGCUCGAUACUGACGCUGAGGCGCGAAAGCGUGGGGAGCAAACAGGAUUAGAUACCCCCGUAGUC